GGCCUAUGAUGAGAACUCCAAAGGCUUGUUUCUCAAAACAUUCGCAGUGGCCGCCUGAGAGCUUUCGCUUUGCCGGGCUUGAGAGCUUGUGCUGCCUUAAUCCUUCCUUGGAUGUCUGAGGCC